GAAAGGUGUGCUAAUACCGGAUACGUCUAUGUUAAUAUCCUUUUUAUAGAGAAAGGUGGCCUCUGAUUCAAGCUACUGUGCGGGGAGGAGCUUGCGUACCAUUAGCUAGUUGGUAGGGUAACGGCCUACCAAGGCGACGAUGGUUAGCGGGUCUGAGAGGAUGAUCCGCCACACUGGAACUGAAACACGGACCAGACUCCUACGGGAGGCAGCAGUGAGGAAUAUUGCGCAAUGGGGGCAACCCUGACGCAGCGACGCCGCGUGGAUGAUGAAGGCCUUCGGGUUGUAAAAUCCUGUCAGAUGGGAAGAAGUGCUAUAUGGUUAAUAUCUGUAUAGUUUGACGGUACCAUCAAAGGAAGCACCGGCUAACUCCGUGCCAGCAGCCGCGGUAAUACGGAGGGUGCAAGCGUUGUUCGGAAUUACUGGGCGUAAAGCGCGCGUAGGCGGCUAUGUAAGUCAGAUGUGAAAGCCCGCGGCUCAACCGUGGAAGUGCAUUUGAAACUGUAUAGCUUGAGUACUGGAGGGGGUAGUGGAAUUCCCGGUGUA
rnacentral:rRNA from 1 species